rnacentral:rRNA from 1 species
CCUACGGGUGGCAGCAGUGAGGAAUAUUGGUCAAUGGGCGCAAGCCUGAACCAGCCAAGUAGCGUGCAGGAUGACUGCCCUACGGGUUGUAAACUUCUUUUAUGAGGGAAUAAAAUGAGGCACGUGUGCCUUUUUGUAUGUACUUUAUGAAUAAGGAUCGGCUAACUCCGUGCCAGCAGCCGCGGUAAUACGGAGGAUCCGAGCGUUAUCCGGAUUUAUUGGGUUUAAAGGGAGCGUAGGUGGGUUGUUAAGUCAGUUGUGAAAGUUUGCGGCUCAACCGUAAAACUGCAAUUGAUACUGGCAGUCUUGAGUACAGUGGAGGUAGGCGGAAUUCGUGGUGUAGCGGUGAAAUGCUUAGAUAUCACGAAGAACUCCGAUUGCGAAGGCAGCUUACGAAACUGCCACUGACACUGAUGCUCGAAAGUGUGGGUAUCAAACAGGAUUAGAUACCCCAGUAGUC